UUGAAAAUUACAAAAUUGACUAAUUCUGGGAGAGGUAAAUAUGUAAGUAUAGGAAUGAGAGUACCAAAUCCCCGGAUGAGCACAUGGCGUUGUUUGUGGCACAAUGUAGAGUCGAGUACUGAAUAGGUCGGCAUUACCUGAUUGGCUGAAAUGAGCACUGUAGAGGACUUUCAUCUUUCAGCUUCCUCGGCCCCGGGAGAGUUGGGUACCUGCUCAGCGGGGGCAUUUUCUCUAUACAAGAAGAAGACGGAGACUCGCUACCCACCCGAUAUAUUUUGUCGGACAGUUUUCUGUACAUAGCAGUCACAACUGUAUCCAGGUCACAUCAAAGGAAUGACAGUUUCUCACUCCCUGGAAUUCUACUUAAUGGAGGGAGGUGUCAUUAAUUAAGAUUGUCACAGCUUCCAAGACACUGAAGUGACAGGCCUAAAAUUUUAUACAUAUUCAUUGCACUGUAGAGGACUUUCAUCUUUCAGCUUCCUCGGCCCCGGGAGAGUUGGGUACCUGCUCAGCGGGGGCAUUUUCUCUAUACAAGAAGAAGACGGAGACUCGCUACCCACCCGAUAUAUUUUGUCGGACAGUUUUCUGUACAUAGCAGUCAUAAAUGUAUCCAGGUCACAUCAAAGGAAUGACAGUUUCUC